AUUAGGAAUCUUGCGCAAUGGGGGCAACCCUGACGCAGCGACGCCGCGUGUAUGAUGAAGUCUUUCGGGAUGUAAAGUACUUUUAGCAGGGAAGAAGAAUGUGACGGUACCUGCUGAAUAAGCCCCGGCUAACUACGUGCCAGCAGCCGCGGUAAUACGUAGGGGGCGAGCGUUGUCCGAAGUUACUGGGCGUAAAGCGCGCGUAGGCGGUUCUUUAAGUUAAUUGUGAAAUCUCCACGGCUCAACCGGGAGACUGCGGUUAAGACUGGGGGACUUGAGAUUGGGAGAGGGAAGUGGAAUUCCUGGUGUAGCGGUGAAAUGCGUAGAUAUCAGGAGGAACACCAAAGGCGAAGGCAGCUUCCUGGCCCAAUUCUGACGCUGAGGUGCGAAAGCGUGGGUAGCGAACGG
rnacentral:rRNA from 1 species